UGCGGGGUGGAGCAGUCUGGUAGCUCGAAGGGCUCAUAACCCUUAGGUCGCAGGUUCAAAUCCUGCCCCCGCUACCA
rnacentral:tRNA from 1 species